UGAGUUGCCGUUGCAAAAUGGACAGCCACGUCAAACAAACAAACAAAAUCAAGCAGGCUGUAAAAUUGUGGGCAUCACUGCUGGCUAAAUUGUUGCCCUACGUAAAUGCCACAGGCACAAUGCCGCUAUGAGGCCCUUGGCAGAGCAGUCCCAGUUGUCACAAAGGCAACGAAUUACAUCUAAAUAGUUCCUACCUUAAGAACCUAACUGGACAUCCCAGUUGCUCUUUUCUCUCAACUAUUUCAAUUUCCUGCUGGAGAAUCAGGAGAAACAAAUAAUGUAACUUCCCACCCUCCGAAGCAGACUCCUUCUGCCCUAUGGUUUCACCUUGCUCCUUUGUGCUCCGAGAAGGAGGGGAGGUCUUACAAAUCCUUUACGCAUCUUUGUGGUUGUGGAUGUGGAAGCUGCUCUGGGUAGACACCCUGAGAGUAAACCGUGUUCCACUUAAACACCUGACCUUUGGGAUGACACAAGAUUGCUUCAGUGUAUAGAUUAAUUAUGUCAUUUGUUUUAAGGACUUUUUUUUAAUUCCUGAUUCUUCUCUCACUUACAGAAGUUGUCCUGAAGAGAAUCCAAGUUAACCAUGCUAAAAUGAAAGUCUUGGAUUCUGGAAAAAGUUUGAAAGUAUUGAUAGACUGUCCAAGGAUCUGCCCUAGAUCAAUAUGAAUAGUUUAAAGAAUUGGGAAUGUGUUUCCUGACAUGCUCCCUCACUGAUGUUAAAAUAGCAGCAGCAGAGACAUCAGGGCUUAGUUUAAAAUGUUAUUAUAUAAAAGGGGGAGAUAUUUUCAGCUCAAGUUUAAAACUCUACCAAAGUAAGACUCUGUCCCAGAUUUUAUAUGGGUUGAAAACUGAGGUUGGAAUCAUCUCUUUAUCCCACUUCUGGAAACAAUAUAAAACCAUUUUUAAAACAACAGUUGGCGCUUCCACCAAUGAUUUAUCAGUGCUUCAAAGUGUUGGAUAUCGUUCCAUGUUGGCGCUCAGUAAUUUACUCCUGCACGUGUCCAAUCCCUAUGAACCAUCUUUUGGAACCAUUCUUGCCUGCUUUUCCUCACAUGACAAUCAACCCAAAACAGCAAUAGACCUGUCACAUCCAUUGAAACCAAUAUUUCAGGGAUCAAUAUUCCUACUGAAUCAGUAGUCUCGAAAAAAAGCAACCAAUGGUUUCAGCCUGGAUGGAGCUCGAUCACCAAUCUGCAGACCUCCCACUUGCUUCCUCUCAUGGCCCUUGCUUAAUCCUCACCAAAUCCCCCACCGAAAGGUCAGCUGGAUUCCUCCCCCACCCCCUGCAGGGCUUGCUAUCUCUUGAGUGAUCAAUAGAGCUGUGAGACAAAAAAAUCAAAGUGGUCAUUUAGUGGGUUGUAGAAACCAGGUGGGCAGGAACCAGGUGGGAGGGAGCUCUUCAGACCUGCAUUGCUUAGAAACAGGUUCUGGAAAGAAAUGAAGUUCUUGUUUCUCCCUCAGAAAAAGCUUUGUCAGCCUGGGCGUUUCCACACGCACUCCUCAUAGCAGCCUGGGGAGCAGAGUCUUUGAUGGCCGACCAACUCAGGGAAGAGUGGAUGGCAACCGAAAGACUUACACAGCAUUGAAAGGAGAAAUGCACAUGGAUUAUCUAGUAAGGGACUGCUGAUAUGCGUUCCUUGCUUUAAAAAGUUGUUCAUCUGAUUAAGUUGAAUUUAACUCCACAUUUGUUUUAUAUUUUAAGAGAUCUUCCCUUUCUCAUUCCUGCAUAUUAUUUCAAGCAAAUUUAAAUACUAUUAUAUAACUCUUUGGCAUGAGAGUAACAUAACAGAAUAUUUUAGUCACGGAGAUGCAGCUGAGGAGGUGGAUCCUAACCCUCCCAGGCUCUCGACUGAUCUUAUGCUUCCCACUUAAGGGGGUGAAAUCCAGAAGACUUUAGACUGAUGCACCUGCCCUUGGCUGUAUCCCCAUUAUCUAGCUAGGUAUUAAAAACUCCAGGUUUGACAAAUUGGGGGGGGGGUCAAAAGAAUUAUUGAAUAUGAUUGGAAAGCUGAAUCAACCCCUGAUUUGUGGCAAUGGACGAUUGCAUUGUUGGCAACCAAUAUCUGCACUAGUGCUUUUUUUUUUUGGCAAAGGGGGAAGGCAUAAUUUAGUCAACUGUUUGGAUUCUUUUUGUUGUAACUGUCCAGGUUUCCCCGCACCUCUCCUGGAGAGCUUUAACAUUAAUUUUAAUAUUAUAUCGUCAACAUGGUUGAUUUCAUUUUUUGUUAGCUCGCUUGUAAUAAUGACGUAACUUCACAAAAAACCAAAGCCAGUGAUAAGAGGGGCCAGGAGGACUUCUGAGGGAGUGCGUUGACACAACCGGCACUCCUGCUGGGUGCAGAUUCUUCUGGGGACCCCAACUCCAGCUGGGAGGGUCUUGCACUGGUAGUUGAAGAGUGCUUUAAAACACAGGAAUAACUUUUCUGAAACUUUCUUUCAGGAAAGAGCAGUUAUGAAAGAAUUAGAAACCAGCCAGGAAGGAUGAACUGAGGUUUUCUUUUUCUCUGCUUCCUUUGGGAGCUCCCAGUUUUUACCCGUUCUUCCAGUUGAGAAUCCCAUGAGGUCCCCAAAGACUGGACAGAAGUGCCUGAGGACACCCCACCAAGGUUGUAUCCACCAUCCCUUGGACGGCCCCUGCUGCUUUGGCGCUAUGUGAAGGGAGAGGCUUUUCCACAGGCUCCUUCCUUCUGGGGUUUCCUUCACAGGUCUAGAACUUAUGUCCCUUCAAUGUGGCUUCUCAGUGGCUGAUACCCUGCAGGAGUCUUUGGACCUCUUUGGAGCCUGGGUACCUGAAGCGUCCUGGGAUGGCAUCUCUGAGGCACAUCUGCCUCCUGCCCCAGGAACCACGGUGGGGAUGGGCAGCAGAUGAGUUGCACUCUUGAACUGGCAAGCGUUCUCUUCUUUCUCUCAUGGGUGCCCUCACUCGCAUCGCAGUCUCCAAGCGCCACCCGGGGUGACCCUCAGGACCCGCACAAGGCCACCUUCUCCAGCAGGGGUGGGGGCUUCCUUUGCAGCAGCCAAGCCCCGGUCUCCUGAAAGGGGCUCUGCCUUGCCUUGCCUUGCCUCUCCUCUGAGAGGGACUCCCCAGACAGAUCCUGGAGCCACCAGGGCAGCCAUGGGCUCUGGCUGGCAGAGAGCUUGAAAUGCAGAGAAGCAACUGCCCUUAAAAUGGGGUCUUUCAAGCUGCCUCAAUGAGAUGCUGCUGUGAUGGUGGGGAUGCUGGGGGCCUGCCUGCGUGCGUGUGUGUGUGUAUGUGUCCAAGAGAGGGUGAGUGUGCAGGCUUAGUUAAGCCUAAUGUGUUUAAAAGCUUUAAUAUUGAUGGCCUGUCAACUUUGUCCUGAUUCUUUGCCUUUCAGUUAAAAGGUUUUUGUUGUUGUAGCUUAUGCAGUUGCUCUGUUGCUAUGGAAACAUGACAUCAAAAUGACGUUUCUCUGUUUAAAAGCUUUUAACUAAAUUCCAGCCUGUCAGAUGUAGGCCCCAUCUUGUGUGCUCAGCUCCCCGCCGUGGCAAAGAGGUUUCAGGCUGUCGUCGCAGCCUGGCGGUUCCUGUGCCGCCUGGACCGCUUUUAAGAGCCCUCUGAGUGCCUCGCCAUGGCGGCAGCCCCGGCCCCCGGCUACCUCGUCUCCCCGCAGAGCGAGAAGCACCGCCGGGCCAGGAACUGGACGGAUGCGGAGAUGCGGGGCUUGAUGCUGGUCUGGGAGGAAUUCUUUGACGAACUCAAGCAAACGAAAAGGAACGCCAAAGUUUAUGAGAAAAUGGCCAACAAACUCUUUGAAAUGACGGGGGAAAUUCGCCACGGAGAGGAGAUCAAGAUAAAAAUUACCAACAUGACAUUCCAGUACAGAUCUGCUCUUUGGGGACAUUUAAUGCCCAACUCGCGGCUGUUACGAGUGACCUAGCAUUCAUGACUCUUCAGUAGGAGGCUCUUCGCUUUCACCUUUACUCAACGCACAAGCCUGUCGCGAUGAAAAAGUUACUCAGAAGUACAUCCAUGGUUGCCUGCUUGUUUUAGUUCGAACAUCAUCUCUGUAUUUAAGUCCUCUGUUGGUCAAUUGAGUGCAACUAUAAAGAGUCCUAAAA